rnacentral:rRNA from 1 species
AUUGAACGCUGGCGGCAGGCCUAACACAUGCAAGUCGAGCGGCGCGGCGGACGGGUGAGUAAUGCCUAGGAAUCUGCCUGGUAGUGGUGGAUAACUACGCGAAAGCGUAGCUAAUACCGCAUACUAUUUGAGCGGCCGAAAUCGGAUUAGCUAGUUGGUGGGGUAACGGCUCUACAAGGCGACUAUCCGUAGCUGGUUUGAGAGGACGACCAGCCACACUGGGACUGAGACACGGCCCAGACUCCUACGGGAGGCAGCAGUGGGGAAUUUUGUACAAUGGGGGAAACCCUGAUCCAGCCAUCCCGCGUGUGCGAUGAAGGCCUUCGGGUUGUAAAGCACUUUUGGCAGGAAAGCGGUACCUGCAGAAUAAGCACCGGCUAACUACGUGCCAGCAGCCGCGGUAAUUC